UACGGAGGGUGCAAGCGUUGCUCGGAAUCAUUGGGCGUAAAGGGCGCGUAGGCGGGCGCGUAAGUCGAUUGUGAAAGCCCUGGGCUUAACCCGGGAACUGCAGUCGAUACUGCGUGUCUUGAGUGCUUGAGAGGGUACUGGAAUUCCUGGUGUAGAAGUGAAAUUCGUAGAUAUCAGGAGGAACACCGGAGGCGAAGGCGGGUACCUGGCGAGCUACUGACGCUGAGGCGCGAAAGUGCGGGGAGCAAACAGG
rnacentral:rRNA from 1 species